UUUUUAUGAAAGUUGUUUUAAAAAUUUUGGUCCUUUUUCUAAAUUUAAAUAUGUCAAAAUUUUUUAGUGCAAUUAGAGUCAGUAAAUUAGUUUGUGAUCAAUUAAAAAAUCGUAAAUUUUCGUCAUCCAAGUCAGAUAGUAUCACAGCAGACCAGUGGGAAGAAGCAAAAUCGAAACUUGAAAAACUCCAAGAAAGGAUCAGUGGGGUUAAAGCGACUAACAAUGAAGAAUUAAAGGCACGAAAUAGUAAGACAAAGCUCCUUGAAAUGGUUCAACAGGUUUUGCGGACAAAAUUAGAACAUGAUUAGAUUUAUUCAUUUUUUGUGACACCUUCAUGUUGCAAAUAAGAACUCAAUAAACUUAAGUAUAUGUCUUUGACAGAAUUGCAUUCAAAGACCAAGAAAUGUGUUGCGGUAUCAUAAAGCGAUGAAUGCAAGGUGUAUCUGAUCAAAUUGGAAGCUGAAGACUGUCUUCUGUUGAUUUUAUGGUUAAUCUCAAUGUUGAGUGCCAGAGCAAUGCUUUCCAAAAAAAGCCAUACUUUCACAAGUAUGUACCUUUAUACAUCUCAGAAACGAUCCUUCCGAUAGAAAAAAAUAAUAUGCUGCUUUCAAUUUACUUGGUCUAAAAAUAACAGGUCAUAUGUGUAGAUUUCUCUAAAAUGAAGAGGUAAUUAUGCCGGUAUAAAUAUCCUGUGCAGAAAUUUUUGUGAGACAAUAAGGUUUUUACAAAGUAUGACAAAGUUCAAAAGGUCGUAUUCAAGUCUGUAUAAAUUCCACAACAACUAAGCUGAAGUGAACCAAUGACUGACUGGAACCAGUUCCUUUAUUUUUUGUCACAAAA